rnacentral:rRNA from 1 species
UACGAAGGGGGCUAGCGUUGCUCGGAAUCACUGGGCGUAAAGGGUGCGUAGGCGGGUCUUUUAAGUCAGGGGUGAAAUCCUGGAGCUCAACUCCAGAACUGCCUUUGAUACUGAGGAUCUUGAGUAUGGGAGAGGUGAGUGGAACUGCGAGUGUAGAGGUGAAAUUCGUAGAUAUUCGCGAAGAACACCAGUGGCGAAGGCGGCUCACUGGCCCAUUACUGACGCUGAGGCACGAAAGCGUGGGGAGCAAACAGG